UGCGUAGGUGGUUGUUUAAGUCUGUCGUGAAAGCCCUGGGCUCAACCUGGGAAUUGCGGUGGAAACUGGACGACUAGAGUGUGGCAGAGGGUAGUGGAAUUCCUGGUGUAGCAGUGAAAUGCGUAGAGAUCAGGAGGAACAUCCGUGGCGAAGGCGACUGCCUGGGCCAACACUGACACUGAGGCACGAAAGCGUGGGGAGCAAACA
rnacentral:rRNA from 1 species